rnacentral:rRNA from 1 species
AGUCGAGCGAGAACCAGCCCUUCGGGGCUGGGGAAAGCGGCGAACGGGUGAGUAACACGUGAGUAAUCCACCCUCGGUACCGGGAUAGCCCGGGGAAACCCGGAUUAAUACCGGAUGGCCCAUCCGCACUUCGGAGCGGCUGGGAAAGGUAGCUUCGGCCUCCGACCGAGGACGAGCUCGCGGCGGAUUAGCUUGUUGGUGGGGUAACGGCCUACCAAGGCGACGAUCCGUAGCUGGUCUGAGAGGACGAUCAGCCACACUGGGACUGAGACACGGCCCAGACUCCUACGGGAGGCAGCAGUGGGGAAUCUUGCGCAAUGGGCGAAAGCCUGACGCAGCGACGCCGCGUGCGGGAAGAAGGCCUUCGGGUUGUAAACCGCUUUCAGGAGGGACGAAGCCACUCGGGUUAAUAGCCCAGAGGGUGACGGUACCUCCAGAAGAAGCCCCGGCUAACUACGUGCCAGCAGCCGCGGUAAUACGUAGGGGGCAAGCGUUGUCCGGAUUUAUUGGGCGUAAAGCGCGUGUAGGCGGCCACGCAGGUCCGUUGUGAAAACUCGAGGCUUAACCUCGAGACGUCGAUGGAAACCGCAUGGCUAGAGUCCGGAAGAGGAGAGUGGAAUUCCUGGUGUAGCGGUGAAAUGCGCAGAUAUCAGGAAGAACACCCGUGGCGAAGGCGGCUCUCUGGGACGGUACUGACGCUGAGACGCGAAAGCGUGGGGAGCGAACAGGAUUAGAUACCCUGGUAGUCCACGCCGUAAACGAUGGGUGCUAGGUGUGGGCGGUGUCGACUCCGUCCGUGCC